rnacentral:misc_RNA from 1 species
UCAAACUUGGUCAUUUAGAGGAAGUAAAAGUCGUAACAAGGUUUCCGUAGGUGAACCUGCGGAAGGAUCAUUAAUGAAACUUCUGGGGGAGGCGGGCUUCGGCCAGCACCGGUGGCGACGCCGUGUUGCGGUCGGACCCGCUCCCUCUUCCAACCCCAAACACCUGUGAACCUUUGGGAGGGCGGUUGUAGCGACCGCCCUCCCGUUUUAACAACUCUGAUGUCUAUUUGAAUGUGAUUCGGGGCAGCCCCGAUUAAAAACUUAAAACAACUUUCAACAACGGAUCUCUUGGCUCUCGCAUCGAUGAAGAACGCAGC